AUGCAGAGCCUGGAGGCCAGGCCAGGCUGUGGGGGCAGCCUCUGUGGAGGCUCUGAACUCGUCCAUGAACUGGUAUCUGUCAUAUCCUUGUUCUCUAGGAUACAAUCUCGAGAUGAGACAAAUCUUGCAAAAAUUUCUCUCUAUCCAUCUUUUGAAGACUUGAAGGUAGAUAAAGUAAUUCAGGUUCAGACUGCCUUUUCUGCAAAUCCUGCCAACCCAGCAAUUUUCUCAGAAGCUUCUGCUCCUGUCUCUCAAGAUGGAAAUCUCUAUCCUAAACUGUAUCCAGAGCUCUCUCAGAACAUGGGUGUGAGUUUAAAUGAAGAAGAAAUACGUGAAAAUAUGGCCAUGGUCCCUGGAGCAUCAGUUCAGGGGCAAUUGUUAGCAAAGCCUUCCAGUAUGAGUUAUAUGGUAGCUCCUAUAACUGGUAAUGAUGUUGGAAUUUGUAGAGCAGAAAUUAAGCAAAGGAUUCAUGAAGUCAUUUUUGUGUAAGCAUCAAGAUGGAAAAAUUAGACUCAGGCUUAAAUUGAUAGAUAAUGGUAUAUUUUGUUCAGCUGAUCCAGGCUAAUUCUCCAUCCUCUUUGGUUGGUCUGAGAGUUGAGGACCAGGUACUCCAGAUCAUUGGUGAAAACUGUGCUGGCUGGAGCUCUGAUAAAGCACACUAUGUGCUCAAACAGGCUUUUGGAGAGAAGAUUAUUAUGACCAUUUGUGACAGGCCCUUUGAACGGACAAUCACCAUGCACAAAGAUAGCAGUGGACAUGUUGGCUUUAUCUUUAAAAAUGGAAAAAUAACAUCCAUAGUCAAAGAUAGUUCUGCAGCCAGAAAUGGCCCUCUCACGGAACACAACAUCUGUGAAAUAAAUGGGCAGAAUGUCAUUGUUUUGAAGGACUCUCAAAUUGCAGACAUACUGUCAACAGCUGGAACUUUAGUUACCAUUAUAAUCAUGCCUGCUUUUAUCUUUGAACAUAUCAUUAAAUGGAUGGCGCCAAGCAUUAUGAAAAGCCUGAUGGACCACACCAUUCCUGAAGUUUAAAAGUCAUGGCACAACAAAAAUGUAGCAGAUCUUUUCCAGUUUCCUUCUUUGGCAACUUCCAUAUUAUGCAUAUGAAGCUUUCCCAGAGCCAGUGAGCACAUGCUGCAUGAGGACCUUCUGUUUCAUAGGAUGGCUGGGAAUCCAACCAUCUCAUCUGAUAACUGUUCAGAUUUCAAGAUAGUUGCAGCCUU